rnacentral:rRNA from 1 species
GGGUUGUGAGGUUAAGCGACUAAGCGUACACGGUGGAUGCCCUGGCAGUCAGAGGCGAUGAAGGGCGUGCUAAUCUGCGAUAAGCGCCGGUAAGGUGAUAUGAACCGUUAUAACCGGCGAUACCCGAAUGGGGAAACCCAGUGUGAUUCGUCACACUAUCAUUAACUGAAUCCAUAGGUUAAUGAGGCGAACCGGGGGAACUGAAACAUCUAAGUACCCCGAGGAAAAGAAAUCAACCGAGAUUCCCCAGUAGCGGCGAGCGAAGGGGGAGGAGCCCAGAGCCUGAAUCAGCAUGUGUGUUAGUGGAAGCGUCUGGAAAGGCGCGCGAUACAGGGUGACAGCCCCGUACACAAAAGCGCAUGUGCUGUGAGCUCGAUGAGUAGGGCGGGACACGUGGUAUCCUGUCUGAAUAUGGGGGGACCAUCCUCCAAGGCUAAAUACUCCUGACUGACCGAUAGUGAACCAGUACCGUGAGGGAAAGGCGAAAAGAACCCCGGCGAGGGGAGUGAAAAAGAACCUGAAACCGUGUACGUACAAGCAGUGGGAGCACCCUUCGGGGUGUGACUGCGUACCUUUUGUAUAAUGGGUCAGCGACUUAUAUUCUGUAGCAAGGUUAACCGUAUAGGGGAGCCGCAGGGAAACCGAGUCUUAAUUGGGCGUUAAGUUGCAGGGUAUAGACCCGAAACCCGGUGAUCUAGCCAUGGGCAGGUUGAAGGUUGGGUAACACUAACUGGAGGACCGAACCGACUAAUGUUGAAAAAUUAGCGGAUGACCUGUGGCUGGGGGUGAAAGGCCAAUCAAACCGGGAGAUAGCUGGUUCUCCCGAAAGCUAUUUAGGUAGCGCCUCGUGAAUUCAUCUCCGGGGUAGAGCACUGUUUCGGCUAGGGGGCCAUCCCGGCUUACCAACCCGAUGCAAACUGCGAAUACCGGAGAAUGUUAUCACGGGAGACACACGGCGGGUGCUAACGUCCGUCGUGAAGAGGGAAACAACCCAGACCGCCAGCUAAGGUCCCAAAGUCAUGGUUAAGUGGGAAACGAUGUGGGAAGGCCCAGACAGCCGGAUGUUGGCUUAGAAGCAGCCAUCAUUUAAAGAAAGCGUAAUAGCUCACUGGUCGAGUCGGCCUGCGCGGAAGAUGUAACGGGCUAAACCAUGCACCGAAGCUGCGGCAGCGACACUGUGUGUUGUUGGGUAGGGGAGCGUUCUGUAAGCCUGCGAAGGUGGCCUGUGAGGGUUGCUGGAGGUAUCAGAAGUGCGAAUGCUGACAUAAGUAACGAUAAAGCGGGUGAAAAGCCCGCUCGCCGGAAGACCAAGGGUUCCUGUCCAACGUUAAUCGGGGCAGGGUGAGUCGACCCCUAAGGCGAGGCCGAAAGGCGUAGUCGAUGGGAAACGGGUUAAUAUUCCCGUACUUGGUGUUACUGCGAAGGGGGACGGAGAAGGCUAUGUUGGCCGGGCGACGGUUGUCCCGGUUUAAGCGUGUAGGUGUGUGUUCCGGUAAAUCCGGUUCACUUUAACACUGAGGCGUGACGACGAGGCACUACGGUGCUGAAGCAACAAAUGCCCUGCUUCCGUGAAAGCCUCUAAGCAUCAGGUAACAUCAAAUCGUACCCCAAACCGACACAGGUGGUCAGGUAGAGAAUACCAAGGCGCUUGAGAGAACUCGGGUGAAGGAACUAGGCAAAAUGGUGCCGUAACUUCGGGAGAAGGCACGCUGACACGUAGGUGAAGUGAUUUACUCAUGGAGCUGAAGUCAGUCGAAGAUACCAGCUGGCUGCAACUGUUUAUUAAAAACACAGCACUGUGCAAACACGAAAGUGGACGUAUACGGUGUGACGCCUGCCCGGUGCCGGAAGGUUAAUUGAUGGGGUCAGCGCAAGCGAAGCUCCUGAUCGAAGCCCCGGUAAACGGCGGCCGUAACUAUAACGGUCCUAAGGUAGCGAAAUUCCUUGUCGGGUAAGUUCCGACCUGCACGAAUGGCGUAAUGAUGGCCAGGCUGUCUCCACCCGAGACUCAGUGAAAUUGAACUCGCUGUGAAGAUGCAGUGUACCCGCGGCAAGACGGAAAGACCCCGUGAACCUUUACUAUAGCUUGACACUGAACAUUGAGCCUUGAUGUGUAGGAUAGGUGGGAGGCUUUGAAGCGUGGACGCCAGUCUGCGUGGAGCCGACCUUGAAAUACCACCCUUUAAUGUUUGAUGUUCUAACGUGGACCCGUGAUCCGGGUUGCGGACAGUGUCUGGUGGGUAGUUUGACUGGGGCGGUCUCCUCCUAAAGAGUAACGGAGGAGCACGAAGGUUGGCUAAUCCGGUCGGACAUCAGGAGGUUAGUGCAAUGGCAUAAGCCAGCUUGACUGCGAGCGUGACGGCGCGAGCAGGUGCGAAAGCAGGUCAUAGUGAUCCGGUGGUUCUGAAUGGAAGGGCCAUCGCUCAACGGAUAAAAGGUACUCCGGGGAUAACAGGCUGAUACCGCCCAAGAGUUCAUAUCGACGGCGGUGUUUGGCACCUCGAUGUCGGCUCAUCACAUCCCGGGCUGAAGUAGGUCCCAAGGGUAUGGCUGUUCGCCAUUUAAAGUGGUACGCGAGCUGGGUUUAGAACGUCGUGAGACAGUUCGGUCCCUAUCUGCCGUGGGCGCUGGAGAACUGAGGGGCUGCUCCUAGUACGAGAGGACCGGAGUGGACGCAUCACUGGUGUUCGGGUUGUCAUGCCAAUGGCACUGCCCGGUAGCUAAAUGCGGAAGAGAUAAGUGCUGAAAGCAUCUAAGCACGAAACUUGCCCCGAGAUGAGUUCUCCUGAGACUUAAAGUCUCCUGAAGGAACGUUGAAGACGACGACGUUGAUAGGCCGGGUGUGUAAGCGCAGCGAUGCGUUGAGCUAACCGGUACUAAUGAACCGUGAGGCUUAACCUUACAACGCCGAAG